CCUACGGGAGGCAGCAGUGAGGAAUAUUGGUCAAUGGACGAGAGUCUGAACCAGCCACGUCGCGUGAAGGAUGACUGCCCUCUGGGUUGUAAACUUCUUUUAUAAAGGAAUAAAACGAGGCACGUGUGCCUUUUUGCAUGUACUUUAUGAAUAAGGAUCGGCUAACUCCGUGCCAGCAGCCGCGGUAAUACGGGGGAUCCGAGCGUUAUCCGGAUUUAUUGGGUUUAAAGGGAGCGUAGACGGGUUGUUAAGUCAGUUGUGAAAGUUUGCGGCUCAACCGUAAAAUUGCAAUUGAUACUGGCAGACUUGAGUACAGUUGAGGUAGGCGGAAUUCGUGGUGUAGCGGUGAAAUGCGUAGAUAUCACGAAGAACCCCGAUUGCGAAGGCAGCUUACUAAACUGUGACUGACAUUGAUGCGCGAAAGUGUGGGUAUCAAACAGGAUUAGAUACCCUAGUAGUC
rnacentral:rRNA from 1 species